GGGGCGGUAGCAUAAUGGCUAAUGUAGCUUCCUGUCAAGUUGUUUAUACGGGUUCGAUUCCCGUCCGCUCCA
rnacentral:tRNA from 1 species